rnacentral:rRNA from 1 species
UACGGAGGGUGCAAGCGUUAAUCGGAAUUACUGGGCGUAAAGCGUGCGUAGGCGGCCCGUUAAGUCAGAUGUGAAAGCCCCGGGCUCAACCUGGGAACUGCAUUUGAAACUGGCGGGCUAGAGUUAGGUAGAGGGGAGUGGAAUUUCAGGUGUAGCGGUGAAAUGCGUAGAGAUCUGAAGGAACACCAGUGGCGAAGGCGACUCCCUGGACCCAAACUGACGCUGAGGUACGAAAGCGUGGGUAGCAAACAGG